AAAAUCCAGGACUCGCACGCACGAGCGAGACUGCCCUCGAGGGGAGGCCCCCAGAUCCCUUCGCCGCCAGAUCCCUCCUCCCAUCGCCUGCCCUCCUCGCGAUCCUCCCGACGUCCUCGCGCCACCGUCCUCUUCUUCUCUGCGACUCCUCUGUGCCCCAUGCCCUGACCGACGCCGGCGAGUCCUCGUCACUCCACGUGCGCCUCGCAUCCAACGCCGGGGAGGAUCGCGUGACUCCGCCCGCGUCGUCGCCUCCGACGCCGGCCUCUCCUUCACCACCGCCCCUGCCGGCAGGGUCCCCCUCGUCAUGGCCUUCCUCUCGCCUGGGUGUACAUCGCCAGCCGGCCAUAUGGCAGGACGCGCAGACCCGGGCGAUCCUCUCCGGCCUCCUUGAGAAGAGCACCGGCAAUGUGUGAAUCUCUCAACCCCCUUUCUCCGCCCACCUCUCGUUUUUUCUCAAUUUUAUUCCUGAUGGAGGCGCUGUAACCCUUCCCGCCACAGCCUAAUGUGGGCUGCAUGCCUUAGCAUGUGCCUGAUCUUUACAGAGUUUGAGGGCAGCUACUAGACUUCAUGAUUUGGCAAAUACUCCCUCCGUCCCAUAAUAUAAGAGUAAACGCUCUUAUAUUAUGGGACGGAGGGAGUAUAUAUUUAAGGGUGAAUAAGGACAUUUAAUCAUUUCAUAUACCAUGAACAGCAUAGUUGAUACAUUUUCCUUUUGUUGAUCAUUUGCUUGAUGCUUGUUCUGUGGAUUGGAAUUUGUUCUCAAAGAAAGAGACACUGAUCGCUGGCGAAACAUAUGACCAAGAGUCCCCGGGACCUACAUCAUCGAGUAAUAACCAGCCUCAAUCACUUGCCCAGGCUGCUCCAGCAGUAGUGAGGAUGCCUUGCAGUAUGAUACUUGAUACCAUGCUAACAGAACUGUUUUUACCGAAGGUUGAAUAACGCCGGAAAAUAUAUGGUGGUAGCAAGGUCUGCGUCACUGUCUUUUUAGCACUCCUAUGCUAAUCUACCCGUGCAUCCAUAUCUGGAGUCCUCUUCAUAUGAUGAUGCAGAAGAGCAGACUGCUGCUAUUGAAGCCAAAGGUGCUUGGAAAACACAGCUAAUACAGAGAUCUGAGACUACAAUUAAAACCAUAGGAGGCGCCUCCAGAACCAGAAUGAGUAGCUCAUGCACCUACUCAACAUAGUGAAUGUGAGCUGCUCAUUCUGGUUUUAGAUGCGCUUCCUAUGGUUAAUCUUGAAGACCUUGAAUGGGGGUGGAGGCUGGAUUGCGAGCCAGAUGCCCCAUCAACAGGGGCGGUAAAGGAGAAGAAGAUAGUUGUGGAGGCUGGAUUGCGAGCCAGAUGCCCCAUCAACAGGGGCGGUAAAGGAGAAGAAGAUAGUUGUUUAACGGUACAGUGACUUUGCUCAAGUGACAUACCAGACCCAUCUUGUUAAUCUUCAUUAUCUUCGCCGAAGAAGGAAAAAUAAAAUUGAUAACCUCAUCAGGCAGUGAAGAUUGCAUGGCCAGUCUCUGUUUUGUGCAUGCUAGGUGAGCAUCAUGAACUGUUAUACUUGCCUUACGAGUAUUUUUCCUUUAAUCAGAUGCUCACAUAUAUUUCUGUGAAUAAAUAGAUCUUUUCAUUUUCUUGUUGGGAAAAAAGACCAUGUAAUCCUUCCCGCCACAGCCUAAUGUGGGUUGCAUGCCUUAGCAUGUGCCUGAUCCUUAUAGAGUUUGAGGGCAGCUACUAGACUUAAUGAUUUGGCAAAUAUAUAUUUAAGGGUGAAUAAGGACAUUUAAAUCAUUUCUUAUACCAUGAACAUCAUAAAAAGCAGAUUGGGCAUGUGGAGAUAUGUAAGCGUACAUAGUUGAUACAUUUUCCUUUUGUUGAUCAUUUGCUUGAUGCUUGUUCUGCGGAUUGGAGUUUGUUCUCAAAGAAAGAGAACUGAUCCCUGGCGAAACAUAUGACCAAGAGUCCCCAGGACCUACAUCAUCGACUAAUAACUAGCAUCAAACAGCUGCCCAUGUCAGCUAUCUUUCUCAAACCAGUAUUUUUUGGUUCGAUCAUUCGCCACAUCAUGUGACAUCGCAUGGGGCAUCAGUAGCGACCCACACACUGGCGCAAGGAUGUGAAGAUGGGGACAUCAAGUGCAUACCAGACAGAAGACCUCACCUCAUUUCUCCAAACUGUCUGAGCAGUGUGCAAGAAAGCUGAAGACAUUUGAAGAAAGCAUUGUCGGAUAUGUGGUAUCCUGAUCCUCUUACUUGGGACUGGGAUAAGGAGGCACAACAUUUAAUAGGUUACUGAAGAUUUGCGAUGGUGAAAAAUGCCAAUGUCAGCUAGGUAAAGCGAAGGAUGUUUUCCCCACCAUGGAUAUCUUAUUAUGUCAACCUGCUCUUGGUAAGUACAGUAUGAACUGCCAAAAUUUCAAUGGUACAUGAGUCGAUAAAUUUGGCAUGAUGGUGAAUAUGUUAUCAUCGCACUGAAAAAGUAUAUGCUAUGAUGUAUCUUGAUCAAUCUUCAAUACCAUUUGGGGUAAACGCUCGUGUAGAUAAUCAUGUCUCUUUGAAAUUAUUUGUAUGUAAAUAGUCUUGUGUUAUGUUGUACCUUUGCUGCUCCUGAAGACCUUAGUGUAAAUAGUCAUAGAGAUAAUUAUGUCUAUUUUAAUUUAUUAGAAAGUAAUGAAAUUCUAUGUUCAUGCCAUUUCUCUUUUUUUUUUCCUUCAUGAGAAAAACUCACUGAAGGGAGGAUCGCAUUAUAUAGCAUGGCUAGAGAUGAACUCGGACUCGCAACUUCACCACCAUUUCCGAAUGGAAGUUUGUCGGGAAGUCAAAGUCAUGCGCUAGGUCGAGAGGAGGGGAGGCAUCUGGCAGAGAGAAAGGUUAUCUCAGUGUGGCAUCGAGGUCUUGAGAGAAUGUUUGUUUAACUACCGUAGUUUCAAGUCCUUUUCUACUCUAUACCUUUGAAGAGACGACAAUGCUACAUGCUGCUUUGUCUUUUUCAAGAGUGGGUGGUUAAGGAGGCAUAUGGACUCUCAAGGAAAUAAGUGGGGGAGAGAAUUGAUAUUUGUAGCUAUAUGAAUAGAUAUUACAGGCGUCAUGUUUGACAUAUAUUUUCUGAAUUACGAGUGCUUAUAUUUUUCAGUUAUGCUGUGCCAAGGCACGAGCACUUAGCUAGCAGCAUUCAGCAUACAUGUAUAUUUUUUAAUAUAUGUUUAUAUGUUAACUUUUGUUGGUCUGAGAUAAAAUUGGUGGCUUCGGAUGAUGCUUUGAAAGUGUCCAUUGACAAAGUCACUGACAUAACUAUGAUGGACGGGACUCAAAACUCGUCGAGUUUUACACAAUAAGAUGCAUACACAUAAUUGUUCUUCCUUGUACAUAUGUUGCACAUGAUAAUACAAAAGGUUUAUUUCUAUGUAUGUUUAUUUUUGCAGAGUAUCAAAGAGAUGGAGAGGUAUUAUGUCGAUGUUCAAAAGAGUCCCAAGGCAAUGUCAUUGGAAGGGGCCAAAAAAUUUCCGAGCUUUAUACAACAAUAUUGGAUAUGCAAGCAGAAAAAAAAGGCUAAGACCCACUUUGGUUCAUAGGAAUAUAAAACUUGUAGGAAAUGAGAUGUCAUGUAUCUCAAAUCCUAUGAAUAGUAAUAGAAAAAGAGAUGUCCUUUCAUUCAUAUCAUUUGAUUUUUCUAUUGAGUCUAGGUAAAUAUUAUUUUCAUAUGAAAUGUGAAGGAUAGAAAGAAUUUGUUCCAUAGGAAUAUGAUUCUAUUCCUACAAACCAAAGGAACAUUUUUUUCUAUAGAAAUCAUACAAAAUUUCUUCAAA